rnacentral:rRNA from 1 species
UGCACUCGUUCAGGUUCAGGCCAGCAUCGGUUUCCAGGGGGGGAUAAAGUCUGCUGGAACGUGGCUCUUCGGAGUGUUAUAGCCUAUUGUAUAAUACCUUUAUGGGGACCGAGGUACGCGCUCUGCAAGGAUGCUGGCGUAAUGGUCAUCAACGA